ACGAACGCUGGCGGCGUGCCUCAUACAUGCAAGUCGAGCGGACUUGAAGGAGUGCUUGCACUCCUGAGAGUUAGCGGCGGACGGGUGAGUAACACGUAGGCAACCUGCCCUCAAGACUGGGAUAACUACCGGAAACGGUAGCUAAUACCGGAUAAUUUAUUACAUAGCAUUAUGUGAUAAUGAAAGACGGAGCAAUCUGUCACUUGGGGAUGGGCCUGCGGCGCAUUAGCUAGUUGGUGGGGUAACGGCCCACCAAGGCGACGAUGCGUAGCCGACCUGAGAGGGUGAACGGCCACACUGGGACUGAGACACGGCCCAGACUCCUACGGGAGGCAGCAGUAGGGAAUCUUCCGCAAUGGGCGAAAGCCUGACGGAGCAACGCCGCGUGAGUGAUGAAGGUUUUCGGAUCGUAAAGCUCUGUUGCCAAGGAAGAACGUCUCAUAGAGUAACUGCUAUGAGAGUGACGGUACUUGAGAAGAAAGCCCCGGCUAACUACGUG
rnacentral:rRNA from 1 species